rnacentral:lncRNA from 1 species
UUAGUAAUCUCGGAAACCUGUUAAUAUUAUGUACUCCUAGUUUUCCAACAUGGAACACUUGGUGGCCUCCUCCAUUCUUUUAUAUUUUUGGAUACCAGUCCACAUGUUUUUUGGCCCCCAAAUUAACUGCAGCGAUUGAAUGGGGGUUCAAGUUGGGUGCUGAGCUUUCAAAAACUCUGCUUCAGGACAUGGACGUAGCCACGUUGGUUAGAAUGGGAUGUGUUAUCGUUAUGUACCUUAAUCCCUUCUCACAAUUUAGAUUAGUGUAAAAUAGAAUAUCACUGGUAUGGGAAAAAAGUUGGAAACAAAAACGGCAAGAUAAGGUAUGUUCACUUUCCUUUUUGUUCACUCUUCUAAACAAAAAUGAAGAGAACAAUCACAACUUUGAAACUAAUAUGUGAUGAGACAUGUUUAGCUGCUCCUGGUGUAAUCACGAUCACAGUUGAAGGGUAGGGGUGAAGACUUGAACGCGCGAUACGUUCCGACAUUGUUCAUUGAAUGGUUAGCAGUCGAUACCAGUUCAAGUUGUUCGAUUUGGAGAAUUAAGUUCUGAGGCUCUAAGAAGGCAACUAUUGCAAUCAAGGCUGUUCUAUGGACGAAAAGCCAGCAAUAUCCGAGGUAAGAUGUGUGGAUAUCCGAGGUAAGAUAUGUGGACCCACGUGAAAGGAUAAGAUUAAGAAUGAGAUAUCCGAGGUAAAGUAGAAGUGGCAACAAUUGAAGAUCAGAUGAGAGAAAAUCAAUUAAGGUGGUUUGG